UUAUUGACAAGAUUUCAGCUUAGGGCAGUCGUGCCAGAGAUGGUGUGUUUGUUUUAAAUGUCUAUAUUUGUCCUCAGAAGGAACUGAUUUUUGAACAUCAGGUUAUUCAUUCAAGAGCAGAGAGAUGGAGAUAAGAGCCAAGCUUCCGGCUUUUUGUUUUAAUGUAGGGUUGGGGUUCCCUUCCCCCCCCUUUUUUUAGUUUGUCAGAGUUCCAUUAAUAGGAUACCAGAAGCAGGAAUCAAACUCCUAUUUCUUGGAGAAUAUGAUCACUAAGUCCGCACAGACAAAACAACAGAUAUAUAAAACUGCUUCAUUUCUGUUGCAUGAAAUAUUAACAAGUUUUGAAUGUCCAGUGCUCACCUUUUCAGACUUUUUCUGAAAUUAUUAACUUUUUCCCUGACCUGAUGUGUUCCCAUUCAUCUCUUGACAUAAAAGACACAGAUCAUGACGCAUACUGCAGCAGUCUUGCAGCUGGUUUUAUUAGGGUCAAGUUUCGGGAUGAAAUCUAUCAGCACCUCAGAGGAAUGGAGGUAGUAGCAAAAUUAAAAAAGUAAGGGGUACAAAGAUCAGGUUUGACUAUCGAAAAAGUGUUGAUUUGUUUUCUAGGGUGGUGGAAGAGAGUUAAAUACCUGCUAUUUGUCUCUCUAAAGGACUUAAUUACCCCACUGUGCAAACUGUCUGUAAACCCGUCUAGAUUAGAAUGAGAACUCUUACACCUGUGCCAAGUACAGUCAGGUAGCUCUUUAGCUAGCAACUUAAACAUUGUGUAAACUAUUACCCAGAUGCCAGGCUGAAAAGUUCAUUACUGUAGCAACAAAACUAUAAUUAAGUACUUAGGUGAAUAGAAAAUGGAAAUCAAAGAGUUUAGAACUUGUUAUACCUCUGCAAGCCUGCUGUCUUUUCAAAGUAAAAUCUUGUGUGGUUUCUAGUGUUAAUUAUCAACUAACAGAUUUAACUUUGUGCACCCUCAUGCUUUCACAGGGUAGCAUCUUACAGGAUUAUGCACUGUUCUGUCUGUAUAUUCUACUUUAUAAAAAGGUAGUAGGGGACUGGAUGGCAGCUGAAAUCCCCGGUGGCUAAGUAAUUACUAUCUACUGCUUGUUGAGUGACCUUUAGGAAGUGGUUUGGUCUUGAUCCAGCUCCUAAUGAGGGAAGUGUUCACAAAAUACAAACAAACACCCAUGAAGUUGAGGACUAAUGAGGGCAUACUCAGAAAGGGCAAUGAGUGAAGGUGCAUGGAUACUGAUCUUCUGAGUCAGGAAAUGAUUGCUUCAGGUUUUGAAAUACAUUGGCAGGGCCAUUGGAAAAGCUUGCAUUGUUGCUUCCCACGCUGUAUUUUUCUCUGCAGCUGCAGGGCAUUGUUUAGACUCCUUUCACCUGUAUUUCAAUGAGUUAAAAUAAGACCUCUAGUUCUUUUACAGGGCUAUAUCUAUAUCAUGGGAGUUACCUAAGUCCAGAAAACCAUUGGAAGUUUCAUACCUAGCUCAUUCUAUCUGUGAAAUGUAUGUAUGGUAACAUAAUUCUGACCUCAGGAGUGAGAAACUGAAGCCUAUGAUGGUUGAAAAGGGUUUAAGUGGAAUUGUCACUGAACCAGAUCUGUAAACCUCACUCUCAGCUGAUAGACUCCUUAAGUGUAGUUGAUCAAUCUGCACUUCAUUUGUAAUACUCAGAACUCUCAAAGUGCCAGCUGGUUUUAUCUUCACAUGUGGCAAAUUGACUGCUUUGGUUUUGCUGACUUAACAGAAAAAGAAAUUGGUUCAGCAUGGAUAAGUGUCAGUUGUUUUCUUUACAACACAGUUUGCCAAAAAAAAGCCGAGUAUUUUCUAGUAUUGAGGGUGAAAACCCUAAAUAAAGUAAUGCCCAGCUUGUUA